rnacentral:rRNA from 1 species
AUUACCGCGGCUGCUGGCACGUAGUUAGCCGGGGCUUCUUCUGGCGGUACCGUCACCCUCUGGGCUAUUAACCCGAGUAGCUUCUUCCCGCCUGAAAAGAGGUUUACAACCCGAAGGCCUUCUUCCCCCACGCGGCGUCGCUGCGUCAGGCUUUCGCCCAUUGCGCAAGAUUCCCCACUGCUGCCUCCCGUAGG